rnacentral:rRNA from 1 species
CCAUUAGUUGAAGAACUUUUACAGGUGUGGAAUGGAAACGGUGUACGUACGUGGGAUGAGCACAAACAGGAGGAAUUUCACCUAAAGGCGUUGCUGUUCGUGACCAUCAACGAUUCGCCCGCUCUCAGUAACCUUUCAGGACAGACAAAGAAGGGAUACCACGCAUGCAUGCAUUGUUUACUUGACACCGAUAGUAUAUACCUGGGAAGCUGCAGGAAGAAUGUGUACCUGGGCCAUCGUCAAUUUCUUCCGACCAACCAUCAAUGUCGAAAGAAAGGCAAGCAUUUCAAAGGCGAGGCAGAUCACGAGAAGAAGCCCGCCAUGCGUAGCGGUGAUCACGUACUUGCUAUGGUCAAUGAUUUACACGUAAUCUUUGGAAAG